rnacentral:rRNA from 1 species
UGACGCUGAGGAGCGAAAGCGUGGGGAGCGAACAGGCUUAGAUACCCUGGUAGUCCACGCUGUAAACGGUGGGUACUAGGUGUGGGGUCCAUUCCACGGGUUCCGUGCCGUAGCUAACGCUUUAAGUACCCCGCCUGGGGAGUACGGCCGCAAGGCUAAAACUCAAAGGAAUUGACGGGGCCCCGCACAAGCGGCGGAGCAUGCGGAUUAAUUCGAUGCAACGCGUAGAACCUUACCUGGGUUUGACAUGGAUCGGGAGUGCUCAGAGAUGGGUGUGCCUCUUUUGGGGUCGGUUCACAGGUGGUGCAUGCCUGUCGUCAGCUCGUGUCGUGAGAUGUUGGGUUAAGUCCCGCAACGAGCGCAACCCUUGUUCACUGUUGCCAGCACGUUAUGGUGGGGACUCAGUGGAGACCGCCGGGGUCAACUCGGAGGAAGGUGGGGAUGACGUCAAGUCCUCAUGCCCCUUAUGUCCAGGGCUUCACGCAUGCUACAAUGGCUGGUACAGAGAGUGGCGAGCCUGUGAGGGUGAGCGAAUCUCGGAAAGCCGGUCUCAGUUCGGAUUGGGGUCUGCAACUCGACCUCAUGAAGUCGGAGUCGCUAGUAAUCGCAGAUCAGCAACGCUGCGGUGAAUACGUUCCCGGGGCUUGUACACACCGCCCGUCAAGUCAUGAAAGUUGGUAACACCCGAAGCCGGUGGCCUAACCGUUGUGGGGGAGCCGUCGAAGGUGGGACUGGUGAUUAGGACUAAGUCGUAACAAGGUAACC